GCUUGUUCCCAGCUUGUUGACAAGUUAAUUGUCAACGUCAACGGCUUGUAACGCAUGUUGACAACUUGCUACAAGGCUGUUGAGCUCAACAGACGUGUUACAAGUUGUUCCAACAACUUGUUAUCGUCCUGCAAUUCAACAAUUUGUCAACAAGUUGUGAGUGACAAUCUUGUAGCAACUUGAUAAAAUGACAGGAUUGUUACAACUUGUUGACAAGCUCACUAC